UACGUAGGGUGCAAGCGUUAAUCGGAAUUACUGGGCGUAAAGCGUGCGCAGGCGGUUAUGUAAGACAGAUGUGAAAUGCCCGGGCUUAACCUGGGAACUGCAUUGGUGACUGGCAGGCUAGAGUAUGGCAGAGGGGGGUAGAAUUCCACGUGUAGCAGUGAAAUGCGUAGAUAUGUGGAGGAGCACCGAUGGCGAAGGCAGCCCCCUGGGUCAAGACUGACGCUCAUGCACGAAAGCGUGGGGAGCAAACAGG
rnacentral:rRNA from 1 species